rnacentral:rRNA from 1 species
AUUGAACGCUGGCGGCAGGCCUAACACAUGCAAGUCGAACGAGCGGCGGACGGGUGAGUAAUGUAUGGGGAACUGCCCGAUGGAGGGGGAUAACUACUGGAAACGGUAGCUAAUACCGCAUACCAUCGGAUGUACCCAUAUGGGAUUAGCUAGUAGGUGGGGUAAUGGCUCACCUAGGCGACGAUCCCUAGCUGGUCUGAGAGGAUGAUCAGCCACACUGGAACUGAGACACGGUCCAGACUCCUACGGGAGGCAGCAGUGGGGAAUAUUGCACAAUGGGCGCAAGCCUGAUGCAGCCAUGCCGCGUGUAUGAAGAAGGCCUUAGGGUUGUAAAGUACUUUCAGCGAGGAGGCGUUACUCGCAGAAGAAGCACCGGCUAACUCCGUGCCAGCAGCCGCGGUAAUUC